AACGAACGCUGGCGGCAUGCCUAACACAUGCAAGUCGAACGAGACCUUCGGGUCUAGUGGCGCACGGGUGCGUAACGCGUGGGAACCUGCCCUUAGGUUCGGAAUAACUCCCCGAAAGGGGUGCUAAUACCGGGUAAUGUCUUCGGACCAAAGAUUGAUCGCCUUUGGAUGGGCCCGCGUUGGAUUAGCUAGUUGGUAGGGUAAAAGCCUACCAAGGCGACGAUCCAUAGCUGGUCUGAGAGGAUGAUCAGCCACACUGGGACUGAGACACGGCCCAGACUACUACGGGAGGCAGCAGUGGGGAAUAUUGGACAAUGGGCGAAAGCCUGAUCCAGCAAGGCCGCGUGAGUGAUGAAGGCCUGAGGGUUGUAAAGCUCUUUUACCCGGGAUGAUAAUGACAGUACCGGGAGAAUAAGCUCCGGCUAACUCCGUG
rnacentral:rRNA from 1 species